AGUCCAUAAUAAAUAGAUCCUAAUUUUCCCAUUUUUUGCGCAAAUUCGUGUAGAACGAGUGCUUUAAUCACCAUUUUUCACUACUAGAAUACAUUCUGCAUGAAAUGAGACGGUUUUCAUGUUCAUACACCCCACAUGGCAAGUUUUGCAGAUCGAAACCGGAAGUAGGUGUUUAUUGCGCGUACGAGAGCAAAUAUGCGCCAUUUUUAGGGUAGCAGACCACAACUGACUGGCAUUUCACUAGGAACUACAUAACCCCCUAUUUUCUUUUCAUUUUUUCGUUAAUUUGUGAUAGAACUUUUAUGAAAAAUAGGUGUAGGAAAAAGUGAUGUUCUCUAAAGAUACGUAAAGACGACCUGAAGUUGUCGUUUUUUAUAUGAAACAAAGAAGGAUUUGAAUUACUGACCUUUAACCUACACCGGUUGCAUUCAGAUCCAUUUUACUUCCGCUUCCGGUAAAAAUAAAAUUAUCAAAACAGAACGAUAAUCUUUGUCAGAUGAGCUUGACCAGCACACUGUAGUGUCAUUACUAGACUUGCAGGACUGGUCACCUCCCUCGUCUGGUAUACAGUGCAAGUCACACAGAUCAGAGACACUCCAAGCGUUUCGACAGGAGAACUGCUCAGAUGACAUUGAAUUAGGAACACCUACUGUGGUGACAAAUAGGCAGACGUACAUGUAGGCUUGUGGCGCAGCUGAUACGGCAGACAUAGAGUUUAUAGACAUACCAGCUCCUCAUCAGAGAAAACAGUUUUGUUUGCGUAGAGUGUCUCCUUCAGCCACAGUAAUAUACAGUGAAACAGCUGAUAUGUCGGGUAGUAUUAACAACCACUCUAUAGAACCUGAUGCCGUCAUGGUAGAAGAUCAGUCUUCCAACCAGACAAAUGAUGCUAUGUCAGCGGAAGAGUAUUUCUGACAAGAUGACAUCCAGUUGGCCAUUGAAGAAAGUUUGUUAAGUAUUUGUAAUAGCAAUAAGGAAGAGAAAGACAGCUCACUAUUGAAGAAAUGGGUUGACAAAGCACUACAGCCCUCAGAGCCACAAAUAAUAGUUGUUCAAGAGAGGCUGUUACAAACGACGUAAUGAGUUGUUGGUAAAUCUACUUUCAACUGGUCACAGCCGCUGCGAAUAGUAUUCUCUGGUGAAGAUGGAGAUGACCAAGGAGGUCCAAAGAGAGAAUAUCUCUGGUUCAACACUUUAUUGCAUGUUGCUGCACCUUCUGCUCCUUCAAACUUCAUCAGUUUCAUCAAGAAUGAGGUAACCAUAACUUUUCCUGGCUUUUUUUAGCAAAUUAUCUCCCUUUACACUUGCUUAUUAUUUUCAUAUUACAGUACUAACACUUUAAAACAUUGACAGAAUAUCUGGAAACUUCAGACAUACACUCAGUGUAGGCUGUCCUUUACAAUGAUUUGAUUUGUGGCCUUGACUUUGACCUCAUGCAAGAUCCUUAGGUCCUUUGCAUUUAAUCAAUGUCAAAACUUGUAACUUCCAGUAUUGAUUGAAUGCCCAUUUCUCACUUGCAUUAAUUUUUUUUUGCUCUCUUUUGAAAAAAGAAAUGACAGUACAUAGAAGUCUUAGAAUUCUGUUUCGCUCAUUUCUGCCUAAGCACCUUUGCUUGUUGAUGAACCCGCUUGUGAUGAGCUCUAAAUAGUUGUCACAACAGCAGUUCCUUGUACAUGUAUGUGCUCCCGUCUGUCUGUCUGCCCCGAAAAAAUCUGUACUUAGGUGGCUUUGAGAACAAUAAGUAACAGUAAAUUAUCUUUGAUGUCAUUCAACAUGUUUUGGGUUUAUGUGGCUUUUUGGAUUUAGGUGGCUAAAACAAACAAUAGGGAGAACAAAAGAGUAGCCACAUUAGUACCAGUUAAUAAGAAUGUCCGUGUGUACGUCCGAUGUGGUCCAGACUGUAACUCCUUUGUGCAUAGAAAGAUUUCAAAAUAACCUAACACAAUUGUUCACCAGGAUGAGACAUGUUGCACUCAA